rnacentral:rRNA from 1 species
UUACCCCGGGUUGAAAACUGCGAAUAGGCUCAUUAAAUCAGUUAUCGUUUAUUUGAUAGUACCUUACUACUUGGAUAACCGUGGUAAUUCUAGAGCUAAUACAUGCUGAAAACCCCGACUUCGGGAGGGGUGUAUUUAUUAGAUAAAAAACCAAUGCCCUUCGGGGCUCCUUGGUGAUUCAUAAUAACUUAACAGAUCGCAUGGCCUUGCGCCGGCGACGGUUCAUUCAAAUUUCUGCCCUAUCAACUUUCGAUGGUAAGGUAUUGGCUUACCAUGGUUUCAACGGGUAACGGGGAAUUAGGGUUCGAUUCCGGAGAGGGAGCCUGAGAAACGGCUACCACAUCCAAGGAAGGCAGCAGGCGCGCAAAUUACCCAAUCCCGACACGGGGAGGUAGUGACAAUAAAUACUGAUACAGGGCUCUUUUGGGUCUUGUAAUCGGAAUGAGUACAAUUUAAACCUCUUAACGAGGAACAAUUGGAGGGCAAGUCUGGUGCCAGCAGCCGCGGUAAUUCCAGCUCCAAUAGCGUAUAUUAAAGUUGUUGCAGUUAAAAAGCUCGUAGUUGAAUCUUGGGCCUGGCUGGCCGGUCCGCCUCACCGCGUGCACUGGUCCGGCCGGGCCUUUCCUUCUGGAGAGCCCCAUGCCCUUCACUGGGUGUGCGGGGGAACCAGGACUUUUACUUUGAAAAAAUUAGAGUGUUCAAAGCAGGCCUUUGCUCGAAUACGUUAGCAUGAAAUAAUAUAAUAGGACGUGCGAUCCUAUUUUGUUGGUUUCUACGACCGCCGUAAUGAUUAAUAGGGACAGUCGGGGGCAUCAGUAUUCAAUUGUCAGAGGUGAAAUUCUUGGAUUUAUUGAAGACUAACUACUGCGAAAGCAUUUGCCAAGGAUGUUUUCAUUAAUCAGUGAACGAAAGUUAGGGGAUCGAAGACGAUCAGAUACCGUCGUAGUCUUAACCGUAAACUAUGCCGACUAGGGAUCGGGCGGUGUUCCUUUGUUGACCCGCUCGGCACCUUUCGAGAAAUCCAAGAGUUUUUUUUUU